AGUGACGUUUAUUGCCACAUGUUCAUGGUUGCGUGGCCCGUCCUGAUAAGCCACGGGCAGGAUGCGGCGCGUGUCUUUUAUUUGUUUCGUGCGCCUGAGCAUUAUCGACUCGACGAUCAACUGUGGCGCUCGCCCUCCGCUUUUACAUU
rnacentral:lncRNA from 1 species